rnacentral:rRNA from 1 species
UACGUAGGUGGCAAGCGUUGUCCGGAAUUAUUGGGCGUAAAGCGCGCGCAGGCGGUCCUUUAAGUCUGAUGUGAAAUCUUGCGGCUCAACCGUAAGCGGUCAUUGGAAACUGGAGGACUUGAGUGCAGAAGAGGAGAGUGGAAUUCCACGUGUAGCGGUUAAAUGCGUAGAGAUGUGGAGGAACACCAGUGGCGAAGGCGACUCUCUGGUCUGUAACUGACGCUGAGGCGCGAAAUCGUGGGGAGCGAACAGG